GUGAAUCAUCAAAUUUUUGAACGCAAAUUGCACUCUCUGGUAUUCCGGAGAGUAUGCCUGUUUGAGGUUCGGUUAAAUAAAAAACCGUGUUGUUGCUGUCUUUUGUGGUGACGCCCCGGAUUUAGGGCGUCUUGCCUUUGGUUUAGUUACCUAAAAUUUUGCCUGAUUUUUUUUGAAAGUAUUUAAAUGGUUUUACGUACGUUUUCGAUAUCGAAUUCUUGGUGUGGUUAUUCCCAU
rnacentral:misc_RNA from 1 species